rnacentral:misc_RNA from 1 species
GCAGCGCUUGAAGGGUCCAUGCUGCGAAAGUUUGUCGUGUAUGAGGACCAGCUUCUUGAGCUCAUGAAGCUGUGCAAGACUUGUCUUCGCCCAGCAACAUCGUCCCUAGAGGUGCUUGGCUCUUUGGUCACUAUUACAACAACAUGUGAAGACGGCCACACAGUGACUUGGCACAGCCAGCCAAAGAGUGGAAACAAUGCUCUUGGCAAUGUUGCACUUGCUGCCAGCAUCCUUUUUACUGGAUGCAGCCCGAUGCAGACACUGCGCUUCUUGCGGAAUGCCGGGAUAAGCUGCUUCUCCAGCAGAACUUAUUACCGCAUUCAGCAUGACCUCUUGCUGCCAGCCGUCAACAAGGUUUGGGAGAAAGAGAAGAUGGCAUUGCAUCAGCAGCUAAAGCCAACAGGAGCGAGGCUUGCAGGGGACAGCCGAAGCGACUCCCCCGGAUACUGUGCCAAGUACGGCACCUACUCAUUGUUGGAGACGUCCAUCAAUAAAAUAAUCGAUGUUGAGCUUGUUCAGGUAAUGAGAGCUUGCCAUUUGGCCUUUAAAACAGCUAAACUGCAUUUAAGUUUUUUUUCUGCAGUCAAAUGAAGUAGCCUCCAGUGGCCAUAUGGAGUUGGAAGGGCUGAAAAGAACAAUAAAAAACCUCCAUGACAGUGGAAUCGCAGUGCUUGAGAUCGUGACGGACCGCCAUCCACAAGUGCGGAAGUACUUAAGGACACACCAGCCUCCUCUGCUCCAUCUUUUUGAUGCAUGGCAUGUCAGCAAAGGCGUCAAAAAGCAGCUUAUCGCUGCUGGCAAGCACCGAGGCUGCGAAUUGAUUGGCCUCUGGAGGCGGUCUAUCAUAGCACAUCUCUACUUCGCCGUCGGAGUUGGAAAGGGCAAUGGGGAUCUUGCCAUAGCUGUGUGGCUCUCCCUCCUGAAUCACAUCCAGGACAAGCACACUGGACACGGCCUGCUGUACCCGGAGUGCAAGCAUGGGGAGCUGGAACGAAGGAAGUGGAUCUUGCCAGGUAUCAUCUAUCCGAAUAUUCCUUUCAUAAAGUUUUAGAAAUAAUAGGUGCAAAAUGAUUACUUGAGCCAGUGGACUGGCACUAAGAAAAAGAACCUGCAAUAAGGACAGCACAUAAAAACAUUCCACAAACAGCAUUCGCUUUUCUUUGAAUUUCAUUUUUUUUCACAAUUCUUAAUGUAACAACCAGUCUUGUGUUUCUAAUUGUUUUC